GGGGUUGUGGCUCAGCCGUAGAGCACGUGCCUUGCAUGUGUGAGGCCCUGGGUUCAAUUCUCAGCACCA
rfam:Ictidomys tridecemlineatus contig042607, whole genome shotgun sequence.